AUGAAGCCCAAUCCCACACGAGAAGGAAAGCGUCGGUCGGAGUCCUUCUUCCCCACGGACCUCCUCGCGCGUCCCAAAAUACCAGGAGAGCCCCCGCCGCCUCUUCGAUUCCCCAAUCCCCACUUCCCCGUCUCUUCCACGGACCCCCAAAAAAUCCCAAAUUGCCGGCGGAACCCUAGCUCUGGUGCUACUGCCACCUCCACCGGCGGAAUCGGCGGCGGCUCCUUCCCGGCGCCACACCUCGGAGGUUGCGCUGCUCGGCCCGUCCCCGUCGCGUCCUUCCUCCGGCUACACCUUCAGGAUUUCGCGCCGCUCUCGUCCGAGGGCUUUGCACCGUCCUCUUACCUCUGUGCACAUGUAUGCACCCCCGAUGCUAUUGCAGCUGAUCUCCCUAAAAGAAGUUUGGUCCUUAUGCAAUGCAAUUCAUUGAGGGACACAAGUAGUCCCGCAGACCGGCUUCCGAUCUCUAUUGAUUCUGAUUCCUUCACCAAGUAG
rnacentral:rRNA from 1 species